GAUGAACGCUGGCGGCGUGCCUAAUACAUGCAAGUCGAGCGAACAGAUGAGGAGCUUGCUCCUCUGACGUUAGCGGCGGACGGGUGAGUAACACGUGGAUAACCUACUUAUAAGACUGGGAUAACUUCGGGAAACCGGAGCUAAUACUGGAUAAUAUAUUGAACCGCAUGGUUCAAUAGUGAAUGACGGUUUUGGUGUCACUUAUAGAUGGAUCCGCGCCGGAUUAGCUAGUUGGUAAGGUAACGGCUUACCAAGGCGACGAUGCGUAGCCGACCUGAGAGGGUGAUCAGCCACACUGGAACUGAGACACGGUCCAGACUCCUACGGGAGGCAGCAGUGGGGAAUCUUCCGCAAUGGGCGAAAGCCUGACGGAGCAACGCCGCGUGAGUGAUGAAGGUCUUCGGAUCGUAAAGCUCUGUUAUUGGGAAAGAACAGAUGUGUAAGUAACUAUGCACGUCUUGACGGUACCUAAUCAGAAAGCCACGGCUAACUACGUG
rnacentral:rRNA from 1 species